rnacentral:rRNA from 1 species
GGGGAAGUAUGGUUGCAAAGCUGAAACUUAAAGGAAUUGACGGAAGGGCACCACCAGGAGUGGAGCAUGCGGCUUAAUUUGACUCAACACGGGAAAACUUACCCGGCCCGGACACUGGGAGGAUUGACAGAUUGAGAGCUCUUUCUUGAUUCGGUGGAUGGUGGUGCAUGGCCGUUCUUAGUUGGUGGAGCGAUUUGUCUGGUUAAUUCCGAUAACGAACGAGACUCUAGCCUAUUAAAUAGGUGCGUGGUUCUCUGCACCUUGCACCCUUCUUAGAGGGACAAGCGGCUCCUAGCCGCACGAAACAAAGCAAUAACAGGUCUGUGAUGCCCUUAGAUGUCCGGGGCCGCACGCGCGCUACACUGAAGGAAGCAGCGUGUUUUUAUCCCUGUCUGUAAAGACUGGGUAACCCGUGGAACCUCCUUCGUGAUUGGGAUAGGGGAUUGCAAUUGUUCCCCUUGAACGAGGAAUUCCCAGUAAGCGCGAGUCAUAAGCUCGCGUUGAUUAUGUCCCUGCCCUUUGUACACACCGCCCGUCGCUACUACCGAUUGAAUGAUUUAGUGAGGUCUUCGGACCGAUACCCGGAGCGGCCUUUCGGUUGCGCCGGUGUGUUGGAAAGAUGACCAAACUUGAUCAUUUAGAGGAAGUAAAAGUCGUAACAAGGUUUCCGUAGUUUAACCUGCGGAAG